rnacentral:rRNA from 1 species
UACGUAGGGGGCAAGCGUUAUCCGGAAUUAUUGGGCGUAAAGAGUACGUAGGCGGUUUCUUAAGCGUGGGGUGAAAGGCUAUGGCUUAACCAUAGUAAGCCUUGCGAACUGAGAGACUUGAGUGCAGGAGAGGAAAGCGGAAUUCCUAGUGUAGCGGUGAAAUGCGUAGAUAUUAGGAGGAACACCAGUGGCGAAGGCGGCUUUCUGGACUGUAACUGACGCUGAGGUACGAAAGCGUGGGGAGCGAACAGGAUUAGAUACCCUGGUAGUCCACGCCGUAAACGACGAGCACUAGGUGUCGGGAUCGCGAGGUCUCGGUGCCGGAGUUAACGCAUUAAGUGCUCCGCCUGGGGGGUACGCACGCAAGUGUGAA